GGCAUGCCUCAGUACGGCGAGUGAGCGGCAAAAGCUCAAAUUUGAAAUCUGGCACUUUCAGUGUCCGAGUUGUAAUUUGUAGAAGUAGUUUUGGGACUGGUCCUUAUCUAUGUUUCUUGGAACAGGACGUCAUAGAGGGUGAGAACCCCGUAUGAUGAGGCCCCCAGUCCUUUGUAAAACGCUUUCGAAGAGUCGAGUUGUUUGGGAAUGCAGCUCUAAGUGGGUGGUAAAUUCCAUCUAAAGCUAAAUAUUGGCGAGAGACCGAUAGCGAACAAGUACAGUGAUGGAAAGAUGAAAAGAACUUUGAAAAGAGAGUGAAAAAGUACGUGAAAUUGUUGAAAGGGAAGGGCAUUUGAUCAGACAUGGUGUUUUGCGCCCUUUGCUCCUUGUGGGCGGAGGAUACGCAGCUCACUGGGCCAACAUCAGUUUUGGGAGCAGGAUAAAUCUGUAGGAACGUAGCUUUCUUCGGGAAGUGUUAUAGCCUAUGGGAAUACUGCUACCUGGGACUGAGGACUGCGUCUUUUGACAAGGAUGUUGGCAUAAUGGUUAAAUGCCGCCCGUCUU
rnacentral:rRNA from 1 species